CCCUUAGAUGUUCUGGGCCGCACGCGCGCUACACUGACGAUGGCAACGAGUUUUUCCUUCGCCGAAAGAUGUGGGUAAUCUUUUGAAACAUCGUCGUGCUGGGGAUAGAUCAUUGCAAUUUUUGAUCUUGAACGAGGAAUUCCUAGUAAGCGCGAGUCAUCAGCUCGCGUUGAUUACGUCCCUGCCCUUUGUACACACCGCCCGUCGCUACUACCGAUUGAAUGGUUUAGUGAGGACUCCUGAUUGGCGCCGCCGCCCCGGCAACGGAGCAGCGGACUGCCGAAAAGUUGUUCAAACUUGAUCAUUUAGAGGAAGUAAAAGUCGUAACA
rnacentral:rRNA from 1 species